rnacentral:rRNA from 1 species
CUUGAACGCUGGCGGCAGGCUUAACACAUGCAAGUCGAACGAGUGGCGGACGGGUGAGUAAUGCUUGGGAAUCUAGCUUAUGGAGGGGGAUAACUACGGGCAACUGUAGCUAAUACCGCGUACCAUAGGAUGAGCACAAGUGGGAUUAGGUAGUGGGUGAGGUAAAGGCUAACAAAGCCGAAGAUCUCUAGCUGUUCUGAGAGGAUGAUCAGCCACACUGGAACUGAGACACGGCCCUGACUCCUACGUGAGUCAGCAGUGGGGAAUAUUGCACACUUGGCGCAAGCCUGAUGCAGCCAUGCCGCGUGUAUGAAGAAGGCCUUAGGGUUGUAAAGUACUUUCAGCGGGGAGGCGUUACCCGCAGAAGACGCACCGGCUAACUCCGUGCCAGCCGCCGCGGUAAUAC